AAUUUUCUGGAAUAUUCGAUAAGCUCUAUGUUUUGAACCUACAUUAUAACUACGGGAGUUCAAAAUCUAGAAGUGGAUAUGUACUUUCCUGUGAGACCCUUAGAUGGCAUGGAGAGCGAUAGAAGCUACUGUGAGGACACCCACCUAUGGAGACAUAGGUGUCAAAAGUAGAGCAACGGUAUUUUGGAUUAUAU
rnacentral:other from 1 species